rnacentral:rRNA from 1 species
CCUACGGUAGGCAGCAGUGAGGCAUAUUGGUCAAUGGGCGGGAGCCUGAACCAGCCAAGUCGCGUGAGGGACGACGGUCCUAUGGAUUGUAAACCUCUUUUGUCGGGGAACAAAGGCGCCCACGGGUGGGCGGAUGAGUCUACCCGAAGAAAAAGCAUCGGCUAACUCCGUGCCAGCAGCCGCGGUAAUACGGAGUAUGCGAGCGUUAUCCGGAUUUAUUGGGUUUAAAGGGUGCGUAGGCGGACAGUCAAGUCAGCGGUAAAAAUGCGGUGAUCAACGCCGUACAGCCGUUGAAACUGGUUUUCUAGAGUUGGAGAGAAGGAUGCGGAAUUCGUGGUGUAGCAGUGAAAUGCAUAGAUAGCACGAAGAACUCCGAUUGCGAAGGCAGCAUACCGGCUCCAUACUGACGCUGAGGCACGAAAGCGUGGGGAUCGAACAGGAUUAGAUACCCGAGUAGUC